rnacentral:lncRNA from 1 species
AUGGGUGUACAUGGGGGGUGGGGUGAGUGCAGUCACCAAGGGGGCCGGCAGCUGUGCAGGUCCUGGGCCCUCACUCACAAUUGGAGGAAGGAAUUCAGGAAGUGCUCACAGCUGCUCAGACAUCUCAGAGCUUCGUCCCAGGCAGCACCAAGGCUGAGGCACCCAGGGAUGAGCGUUCCAUGGCCUGGGCCCUGGGGUAGCCAUCAGGUCAGGAGACCCCGGCACUGCAUACAGCCACAGCUGCCCCUCUGGAAGCCAGGGCUUCCGCAUCCAAGAAGUCUUGAGCUUACGUCUUUCAGGACAGCGCUUCUUCCAGAGCUGCCAGUGGAGUUGCCCACGGCUCUUGGAAGCCUGGCCCAAGGCUGAGAAAACAGUGACAGAGACCCAGUGAGGUCGAAAUAGAGCCGUGUGGGGUGCCCAACAGCCCAGAGUGGGUACCAGCCAGGGCCUCAGACCAGUAUCUCCUUAGAAGACCACAGGGAGAGCAGCCGGAGGAGCAAGGGUACCUGCCAUCACCAGCAGCUCCUCGCUUCAGAUGGGGAGCGAAUGAGGUCCAAAACACACCCUGGGUUGCUCAGUGGGUUAGUGGCCAUACGGGGCCAUGGAAACAGCAGUGAUUGGAGUGGUGGCUGUGCUAUUCGUGGUCACCGUGGCCAUCACCUGUGUCCUCUGCUGCUUCAGCUGUGACUCAAGGAGCCAGGAUCCUCAGGGGGCCCCGAGCCCCAGCUUCACAGUAGCCACGUUUCGCAAGGAGGCUUCUCUCUUCACUGGGCCAGAUCACAAUGCUCAGCCAGUGGCAGGUGCCUGGGACUUCUGGACCUUCAUGUGAAAUAUACCAGCCCCCCAGGAUUUGCUCUUGUUGUUUAGUCGCUCAGUCGUGUCCAACUCUUUGUGACCCCAUGGAUUGUAGCCUGCCAGAUUCUGCUGUCCAUGGAAUUCUCCAGGCAAGAAUACUGGACUGGGUAGCCAUUCUCUUCUGCAGGGGAUCUUCUUGACCCAGGGACUGAACCCAAGUCUCCUGUAUUAGCAGGCGGAUUCUUUACCAUGAAGCCACCAGGAAAGCCCAAGAUUUCCUCUGCUGCUGGUCAGACUCCUCUUCCCCCAGCAAGCCUUCUCUGGUGACCCACUCCUCCAGCCUGGCAUUUCUGUCCCAUCCAGCCUGUAUCCAGCAGACUCCUGGCCCAUCCUAUCCUGGUUUGCCAUGCCCUCCAGCCUGGGAGAUCUAUGGUGAUGGGACCAGGUAGGAGUUAGCUCUGACCCCUGAGAGUUCAGCUGGACCCUACCCACAGGGUGGGGCUUACGAGAGGUUGAGAGUGAGUGACCAGGCAAUAUUGGAUGGCAUGGUGGGCCAGCUCUUCUGAUCUACAAGGUGCAGUGAAAUAUCACUGGACUUUAUUGUGAAAAGAGUGUUGAUUAUCUCAAGUUGUCCCUGUGAAACUGGUUCUAUUGCCACCAGAGGAAGCAGCGCCCUCAAGUGGACAGUUUUAGAAACCACUUUUUAUCUCUCAAGUGAGUCAUUUUGCUAUUUGCCUGCGCAUGUACUGCAGAGCCCACUUCUGAGACCUGCCUCCUACCUGUUACCUGAAAUCCGCCCUGAAAUUCUGAAACCAAAGGGCUGCUUCCUGGGAACUGGCGAUUCAUUUUAUAAUUGAAAAUGCAUAUCCUUUUAUGGGUCUCCCAAGAAUCAGGGCUGGGAAACCACAAAAGGAAACAAAGAAAAAAAGUCACAGAAAGUACCAGAUGUUUUAUUAAUAGGAAAGCCAGAAAGAAGACUUUGAAACAUAUUUGCAUGAGACUUUGUUUCUAUAUUCUUAUGGGUCACUUCUAUUCUUAGAGACUGUGACUUGCAUCACUCAAGAAUGAUGGAAAAAUCACCAACUGAAAGGUAAUUUCGAAUAAGUUAAAAUGUUAUAUUGUAUUGACAGUAUGUAACAAAGCUCUUGUUUGCAUCACAAAUAAAGAGAUGUUCUGCUUUUAUUUAUGGAAGAGCCGUUUUCUCUGUACCCAUGAAAUGCAUGCCAGACCAUAUUUAGCAAAUUGUUUGAAGGAUGCAGAAUUGAGUCUCCUGACUCAUGUCUCCAUCCAGCACUGAAGGAAUGACUCUCCCAGGACCUGCCGUUGAAGGGAGCAGGACUGACCUAGAGAGGAGGUCUGGUCCCUAAGGGUGCCUGGAUGGGCCACCCUGGCCAUGUGGCUGCCAUAGAAGGACUCGCAGAGAGAGAUGCUUGGGGCUGUGAAGGUGCAGAGGUGUAAGGAGCCAGGGAGAGAGUCAGGCUGGUGGAGAGGGGUGAGUAUGGCAAGGGGAGAGGCACAACACAGGGAGGGCCCGGAGCGCCUAAGGACCCUGUAUCGGUCUCUCUGGACCCUAGAGCCCGCAAGCAGAGCCUUCACAGAUGCAUGUGGAGCGCUACAGGGAGGACCCGGAGGGCCUCAGCGGAGUGGAGUGAACGGUUCGGUUCACGUUCUCUGAAAGUGAAGCCCAGACAGAGUUUGGGGUGUGAGAUGUUUGUAGGGAUCAACAGCUGUGAGGGGAAGGAGGGGGAAGCAGGAUUAGAUAGAGGAAGGAGUCAAAGAUGAUGCAGGCCCUUAAUAUCCCCCCAUCUUUGCUCUUCUCUGGGUGCCCCCACCCCCUGAGGUUUGACCUCAGGCAAAGUGGCUCUGGAGCAGAGGCUGGCCCUGAAGUCCUUCCUUGGAGGGGUCCUGUGUGGCACGUCUCCACAGGAGCUCAGCAGUGGCCUGUUCUCAGAGUUGGGUGAGGGUGUCCAGGCAGAGAGAAACACCGGGCACAGGAACUCCAGGUGGGCAGAGCUGGUGGUACAAGGCCUGGGAGGAGACAAGAGUGGGCCUCAGCCUCUCUCUGUCCUCAAGCAGAGUUAGCUCUGCUGGAGGUCCAGCACCUUCAGCUGGACCCAAGUGUCAGGACCCUGGGUCCAGGGCUUUGCCUCUGUGUGGUGUGGUCACAUUCUUCCCUGAGUCCUUGGAGGAAGGGUCUGUAGGCUGGACUCAGCUCUGAGAACAAGCAAUGGUGAGGGGACAGCCUCGCUCUGUGGGUGGGCAGUCUGUCAAGCCCCAGGUUCUCAUGUGCUCACUCACUCAUCCACCCACCUACCCACCCAUCUGUCCAUCUGUCCACUGACUCCACCUACUUGCUGAGCCUUACUUCCUUACCUACUCAUGCAUGCAUUCAUUCAUUCCAUCACUCAUUCACUCCUCCAUUUAAUAAACACUGGCUGAGCACCGACUGUGCACCAGGCCCCACCCAGGGAAUGUGAAAGUCACCAAGACCCAGUCCCAGCAAUCGAUGAACACCCAGUUUAGUCAUCUGGACAAGGGUGCUCAGGGGAGAGAGAGCUGGGAGUCCCCGGGGAACCCGGGAGGAGGUGAUCUUUGAGUUGGACUUGAAGAAAAGUAGGCACUUCAACAAGAAGAGUUUGGGGGAGGGCCCCCCAGAGGGACUGGCAGGAUUGGAGAUUCAGAGAAUGUGUGCGGCAGGGCGUAGGGGGUCAGACUGAGUGGGGGCCAGGAGACGAAACACAGCCAGCUCCUGUGGGAACCCCUUAUUGCCACACUUGUCCAGUAUGUUUCUGGGCAAGCGAAGGCAACGAAAAGGCAGCCUGGCUUGUUAGUCUGGGCAGGAGAAGUCUUUCCCAGCACACACACAUGGGCACUGCAACCUGCCGUUGCUACAGGGGAGUGGUAGCUUCUGCAGUAAGAGCUGGAGGAAAGGUCCCGGGAGACUCAGAGGGUGGCCAGCACUGGGCGCAGGUGGAGCUGAGGGCUAGGGAGAGGAUGUCCCAGGAAAGCAGGGCAUUUGAGAAAGGCAGGCAGUCAGGCCAGCACCCUGGAGCUGGCUGACAAGAGGGAGAGGGGACCAGGAGGAGAAGCUAGAGAAGGGGCAGGAAGGUUGGGAGUAGGGUUCCAGAUUUAGCAAAUAAAAAUAUAGGGCAUCUGGUUAAUUUUAAUUUCAGGUAGACAACAAAUAAUUUUCAGUAUACACACGUCCCAGGCAGUACUGGGAAUAUACUUACACUAAAACAUUACUCGUUGUCUAUCUGAGGCUCAGAUUGAACUGGGGUGUCCAUAUUUUGUCUGGCAAUCCUACGAAGGUGGGAGUGGUUCUCAGAGAGGGGGGUUAACUGGCUGAAGCUUCAGGGAGGUGAAGGUGAGCAUCCGGAAGAGGCCUCAAAUUUUGCAAUGGACUGUCGACAAUGACCUUGGUGAGAACAGCUUGAGUGGAGUGAAGGGAGCAGCCCUAUGGGCAGUGUGCAAGUGUACACGUGUCUGCAGUGUGUGUGUGUGUUCAGGUGAGUGUGUGUGUUCACAUGUGUGUGUGUGCUCAGGGGCAGUGGAGUCAGUGGGAGCUGAGUCAGCAGAGGAUAAGGACUGAAGAUAAUCUGAAGGGAAGAAGGGCGAGGUAUUGUGGCCCGAGGGGCAUGGCCUUGAAGGAGAGUUUAUUAUUGGUGUUUUUAAGCAGGGAGGGAGGUUGAGCAUGCGGAAGACCUGAAGGAGAAGGAUUGCAGAGGAGACAGUGACAAUUUUCAGCAAGGAGGAGCCCCACGGAAGGGGUGGGGUGGGAGUCAAGGAGUCAGGCAAGUGGGGCAAGGGAAUGCUGCUGGAAAAGAUGCUCAAGAGUACGGGUAAACGCUCAUGUUGUGUGUGUGGUGGGGGAGGAGGGAGAUGAGGGCAUCAUGCCAGAUGGUUUGUUUACUCAGUGAAGCAGGAGCAUCUGCUCAGAGAUGGGUUUGGGGACCUGAGGUCAAGGAGAGCCUGGACUGAUGACCCAGAGCAGAGAGGAGCAGCCGUCCUGCUGUUCUCACGUGAGGAGUAUGUGUGUGGCAUCUCUGUGUGUAUGCUGUAUGGUGUGAGUGUACAUGUUGUGUGGUAUGUAUGUUGUGCAUGUGUGCAUGUUGUGUGGUGUGUAUUUAUGUUGUGGUGUGUGUUGGCCUGAAGUGCUCUGCCCUUUCACCCAGGGCAGCCCAUCAUGUAAAAAGGGG